GCUCUUCACGAUACAUUUAAUUUUUAUUGGUAGAAAAGUCUCGUACCUCAUCACAAGCGCCAUGAGGAUAAAAAUAAAGCGGACAUUAUUUGUAUCUGUAUGUACAUAAAUAUAUAUUAGGACUCUUGAUAUAUGUGACUCUGGGGUUGGGUAUGUUAUUGGUAUGGGGGGGGUGUUUUGGGUAUGUGAUGGGUAUGGGGGGAUGUUUUGUGCAUGUGAUGGGUAUGGGGGUGUGUUUUGGGUAUGUGAUGGGUAUGGGGGGUGUUUUGUGCAUGUGAUGGGUAUGGGGUGUGUUUUGGGUAUGUGAUGGGUAUGGGUGUGUGUUUUGGGUAUGUGUCAGGUAUGGGAUUUAACCUGGUAGCAGCGGGGAUCAUGUUUCUUAAUGGUCCCUCUAGGUGAGAAAAAUGAGAAAAAAUCAUCACUCACACAAACCAUUUCAUAAUAUAUAUCAAACCAUUUGUGAUCAGUUUAUGUAUCAUCUAUUUUGGGGGGGUUAUAUCAUGGAACAAAUUUGGCCCGUCGCUGCUACAUGGUAAAGCCACAAAUUUGGCCCGUCGCUGCUACACGGUAAAGCCACAAAUUUGGCCCGUCGCUGCUACACGGUAAAGCCACAAAUUUGGCCCGUCGCUGCUACACGGUGAAACCACAAAUUUGGCCCGUCGCUGCUACCGGGUCAAUUCACUAUAGCCUGAUCACAUGUUGGACUCGUCAUCGCCAGCAAGUACCCUCCCAAUUAGACCAAGGCAUAUUAUAGUCGAUCUCUGGGUUCUGCCGGGACCUUAACCAUUUCUAUUUCUUCCUCACAUCACAUACAAAGCAAUUUCACGUACCCUAACAGUCCCCUUCUCAGCCAUGGGGGUGGGGAGGGCAGACCUAAAGGGGGGUGAGGGAGGGGGGCAUGAAGGCCUCUUAGUACACAGUGAAGUGGUCCCUGUACAACGAACACUACGACACAGGAAUAAAAGGGACUAGAAAGGUGAUUUUAAGUGGUCUGGUGAAACUCUGGUGCAUCUGAUGGGUUUUUUACUUUGUUUAUAAGUAUAGGAAUGAACUGGGUUUUUUUUACUUCUUUUAUAAGCAUGAGAAUGAAGGUGAUUUUGAUUGGUUGUGAAAAUCUGGUGCAUCUGAUGUGUUUUUUUAAUUCUCUUAUAAGCAUGAGAAUGAAGGUGAUUUUGAUUGGUUGUGAAAAUCUGGUGCAUCUGAUGUGUUUUUUUAAUUCUCUUAUAAGCAUGAGAAUGAAGGUGAUUUUGACUGGUUGUGAAAAUCUGGUGCAUCUGAUGUGUUUUUUUAAUUCUCUUAUAAGCAUGAGAAUGAAGGUGAUUUUGACUGGUUGUGAAAAUCUGGUGCUAUCUGACCUGUUUUUUUUAAUUCUCCUAUAAGCAUGAGAAUGAAGGUGAUUUUGACUGGUUGUGAAAAUCUGGUGCUAUCUGACCUGUUUUUUUAAUUCUCUUAUAAGCAAGAGAAUGAAGGUGAUUUUGAUUGGUUGUGAAAAUCUGUUGUCUUUUUUUUAUAGUAAAGGAAACAGCUCAAGGGAAAAAAAAAAUAAUAAUAAAAAAGGCCCAUAAAUCACUGCUCCUAUCUAUCUGGUACACUUUCUGGUAACAUUUCAUUAUAUUAGAAGGUAGGCAACAAGCUGAAUUAUCUGCUAUUUGGUUAGACUCUUCCUUAAAAUAUAUUUGGGGAACUCAGUCACCACAAUUUGACUCAACUUUGGUUAUCUUCAAGAAACAAAGAUACGUGAAAAUGAAGAUGAAUGAGUAACACCCACACUUCUUGAUCCACUGGGCCUCACUCACACUCUUCCUAACAGUAAUAUUAACCCUUAGAUGGCGGCAGUAUUUUAAGAGAAGCUCCCCACAAAAUGAAUGGUCUAUAUACAGUCACUGCCAACCUUAGGACCGUAGCAUAAAUAUAGUUACGCCGCAUAAGAGGUGUUUUAGCCUGGUAGCAGCGGGGAUCAUGUUUCUUAAUGGUCCCUCCAAGCGAGAAAAAUGAGAAAAAAUCACCCUCACACAAACCAUUUCAUAAUAUAUAUCAAAUCAUUUGUGAUCAGACUAUGUAUCAUCUAUUUGGGGCGGGUUAUAUCAUGGCACAAAUUUGGCCCACCGCUGCUACACGGUAAAGCUACAAAUCUGGCCUGUCUCUGCUACCAGGUUAAAUUUUGUCUAUUUAUGGAUUCUACUGCAAUCUGGCAGUGUUGUUAUAUUUCUGCCAUACAAAACUGCAUGACUGAAUUUUGGACAGUCUGUAUAGAGUUCCACCGCCAUCCAAGGGUUAAACAAUCAAAUAAAUCUUUACAUUCCUCAUCGGAGCACCAUGUGACUUGCUAAGCUUAAUGUCACAAAGCAAGAUAUAUACCUCACCUCUCCACCCGAAAC